rnacentral:misc_RNA from 1 species
UUAAGUUCAGCGGGUAGUCCUACCUGAUUUGAGGUCAAAUGACAUGGUAUAAAAUACUUUGUCUUUCGACGAUUAGAAGCUUAUCCGAACUCCAAUCAUGACAAUGCUUUUUCUUAUCACAUUGCGUGUGAUCGGGGCAGAUCGCUAAUGCAUUUAGGACGAGUCGUAUUCACACACGACAACACCCAAAUCAAUUUCAA